rnacentral:rRNA from 1 species
UCGAGAAUUUUUCACAAUGGGCGCAAGCCUGAUGGAGCGACGCCGCGUGGGGGAUGAAUGGCUUCGGCCCGUAAACCCCUGUCAUUUGCGAUCAAACCUUAUUAUUUAAAAGAUGAUAAGCUGAUAGUAGCGAAAGAGGAAGGGACGGCUAACUCUGUGCCAGCAGCCGCGGUAAUACAGAGGUCCCAAGCGUUGUUCGGAUUCACUGGGCGUAAAGGGUGCGUAGGUGGUGAAGUAAGUCGGAUGUGAAAUCUCCGAGCUCAACUCCGAAACUGCAUUGGAAACUACCUUGCUCGAGGGUCGGAGGGGGGACUGGAAUUCUCGGUGUAGCAGUGAAAUGCGUAGAUAUCGAGAGGAACACCAGUGGCGAAGGCGAGUCCCUGGACAACUCCUGACACUGAGGCACGAAAGCUAGGGGAGCAAACAGGAUUAGAUACCCCUGUAGUCC